rnacentral:rRNA from 1 species
CCCUUAGAUGUCCUGGGCCGCACGCGCGUUACACUGAUGCAUUCAACGAGCUUAUAACCUUGGCCGAGAGGCCUGGGCAAUCUUGUUAACGUGCAUCGUGAUAGGGAUAGAUUAUUGAAAUUAUUAAUCUUGAACGAGGAAUUCCUAGUAAACGCAGAUCAUCAAUCUGCAUUGAUUACGUCCCUGCCCUUUGUACACACCGCCCGUCGCACCUACCGAUUGGAUGGUCCGGUGAAGCCUCGGGAUUGUGGUUCUUGCCGCUUUGUUGUGGCGUGACCGCGAGAACUUGUCUAAACCUUAUCAUCUAGAGGAAGGAGAAGUCGUAACA